GCCUUCGUGGUGUAGUGGUCAGCACGCUCGACGCGUAAUUGAGAGGUCCAUGGUUCGAAUCCCGGCGAGGGCA
rfam:Stegodyphus mimosarum contig78064, whole genome shotgun sequence.